UGGGGAAUAUUGCACAAUGGGCGCAAGCCUGAUGCAGCCAUGCCGCGUGUGUGAAGAAGGCCUUCGGUUUGUAAAGCACUUUCAGCGGGGAGGAAGGCGUUAAGGUUAAUAACCUUGGCGAUUGAUGUUACCCGCAGAAGAAGCACCGGCUAACUCCGUGCCAGCAGCCGCGGUAAUACGGAGGGUGCAAGCGUUAAUCGGAAUUACUGGGCGUAAAGCGCACGCAGGCGGUCUGUCAAGUCGGAUGUGAAAUCCCCGGGCUCAACCUGGGAACUGCAUUCGAAACUGGCAGGCUAGAGUGAUGUAGAGGGGGGUAGAAUUCCAGGUGUAGCGGUGAAAUGCGUAGAGAGCUGGAGGAAUACCGGUGGGGAAGGCGGCCCCCUGGACAAAGACUGACGCUCAGGUGCGAAAGCGUGGGGAGCAAACAGG
rnacentral:rRNA from 1 species